rnacentral:rRNA from 1 species
AUUGAACGCUAGCGGGAUGCCUUACACAUGCAAGUCGAACGGCGUGGGGAACGGGUGAGUAAUGUAGCGGAACGUGCCCAGUAGCGGGGGAUAACUACGCGAAAGCGAAGCUAAUACCACAUACUAUUGGAGCGGCCUAUGUCGGAUUAGCUAGUUGGUGGGGUAACGGCUCACCAAGGCGACGAGCCGUAGCUGGUUUGAGAGGACGACCAGCCACACUGGGACUGAGACACGGCCCAGACUCCUACGGGAGGCAGCAGUGGGGAAUCUUGGGCAAUGGGGGAAACCCUGAUCCAGCCAUCCCGCGUGAGCGAUGAAGGCCUUCGGGUUGUAAAGCACUUUUGGCAGGGAAGCGGUACCUGAAGAAUAAGCACCGGCUAACUACGUGCCAGCAGCCGCGGUAAUUC